rnacentral:misc_RNA from 1 species
CCGAGUGAAGGGCCUCCCGGCCCGACCUCCCACCCUUUGUAUUUCUGACCCUGUUGCCUCGGGGGCGACCCGGCCUUCGGGCGUCGGGGCCCCCCCGGGGACCACUCAACUCUGCAUCUGAGCGUCCGAGUCUAAAUCGAAUAUAAUCA